rnacentral:lncRNA from 1 species
AGGUUACCCAAAGGUUACCCAAAGGUUACCCAAAGGUUACCCAAAGGUUACUCAAAGGGAACCUUUGGGAACCCAAAGGGGACAACCAGAGGGGACUUGUUAUGACGUCUUUCCCCUUUAGGGGAUAUCAUCCCCUAAAGGGGAACCCCUUCUUCCCCUUUAGGGGACUUCUUCCCCUUUAGUUCCCCUAAAGGGGAUGAACUAAAGUUCCCCUAAAGGGGAAUAACCCCCCCCCCCUUCUUCCCCCUUUGGUUCCCCUUUAGGGGAUGCCUUCAUCCCCUAAAGGGGAACUAAAGGGGUGUUACCCUUCUUCCCCUAAAGGGGACGGAGUCCCCUAAAGGGGAAGAAGGGGUUCCCCUUUGGGGAAGAACACUAAAGGGGAAGACGAAGGGGGUUCCCCUAUAGUUCCCCUUUAGGGGAAGAAGCCAAACAUGCAGCUGGCAUGCCUUUCCGCGUUUGUCCCACUUGUCCUACGGCCGGAUAAUAGAAGCUACCAUGUAUUUUAUUUGCACGCUGGAGCUUAAACAACUAAACUACAACGUAGUUUUUAAAAACAACAAACAACUCCUUAAGUAACAUUAGCAACGUAACCAUCCGGCGCAUAUACUAAUAAUGCUCUUUUGAACGACUUAGAAUCGUUUUUUCUUGUUUUUAGGUAACUAAACAACUAAAAAUAUUACCGGCCUUGCCAAAAGNGCAUGACCGCUAAUAUUCAAAUUAUAUUCAAAUAAUAUUCAAAUUAUAUUCAAAAUAAAAUUAAAAAAUUAACCGAAACGACCAGAUGUUGAAGCAAUU